GGAUACCACUGAGAAAUCGGUACUAAUACCGCAUAACACUAUGAGAGGCAUCUCUUGUGGUUGAAAGUUUCGGCGGUUACAGAUGGGCAUGCGUUGUAUUAGCUGGUUGGUAAGGUAACGGCUUACCAAGGCGACGAUACAUAGGGGGACUGAGAGGUUAACCCCCCACAUUGGUACUGAGACACGGACCAAACUCCUACGGGAGGCAGCAGUGAGGAAUAUUGGUCAAUGGACGGAAGUCUGAACCAGCCAUGCCGCGUGCAGGAAGACGGCUCUAUGAGUUGUAAACUGCUUUUGUACAAGGGUAAACCUGAAUACGUGUAUUCAGCUGAAAGUAUUGUACGAAUAAGGAUCGGCUAACUCCGUGCCAGCAGCCGCGGUAAUACGGAGGAUCCAAGCGUUAUCCGGAUUUAUUGGGUUUAAAGGGUGCGUAGGCGGAUUGAUAAGUUAGAGGUGAAAUGUCCGAGCUCAACUCGGGAACUGCCUCUAAUACUGUUGAUCUAGAGAGUAGAUGCGGUAGGCGGAAUGUAUGGUGUAGCGGUGAAAUGCUUAGAGAUCAUACAGAACACCGAUUGCGAAGGCAGCUUACCAAUCUAUAUCUGACGUUGAGGCACGAAAGCGUGGGGAGCAAACAGGAUUAGAUACCCUGGUAGCCCACGCAGUAAACG
rnacentral:rRNA from 1 species